rnacentral:lncRNA from 1 species
AGAACACAGAAGAAAUGUGUUUUUUUAAUGUACAUUUUAAAAUUUGGUAUUUAAGUUUGCAUUUAGGCAUCUUAGACAAAAGCAUCUUUCUUUUUCAGAAGUGAAGGAAGACACAAAAAUAAUUGGAUGGGAAUUAGAGACUUGAAAUAACUCCUCAAAAUUUAUCAAAUUAUAUGAAGAAAGAUUGAAGGCCAGAAGCUCUUCUUUUAAAGCUAAGAAUUGCAUCACACUGCCAACAAAUGUAAUGCAUCAAGAGCAAGCACAGUGCCCAGACGUGAAAUGAAAGAAGAAGCUGAUGAGAACAAAUAGAAGAGAGCCAUGCUGAGACUGCAGACUGUGCCAGCUAUUGUCCAUUUGGAGGACCACAUCUGGUUACAGUGUUGGAAAAACAGAAAAAAGGUGAAAAGGAUUAUAGCAGUAAGAGAUAUAUCAGUACAGGAAUCUGUGAUAAGUUAGUUGGACUGGGAAAGGACUGUAAAAGAGAAGGCAGAAGCUAGUUCCAUAAAUGCACUGCACUUCAGGAAAACAAACCAUGCUUUCAUGCUGUCAUCAACACAGGUAAUUCUAAAGAUCGUAAUUGUUCAGCAGUUUAUUCUCUUUCUGUAUACUCAGAUCAUAUGU